UACGAAGGGGGCUAGCGUUGUUCGGAAUUACUGGGCGUAAAGCGCACGUAGGCGGAUCGAUCAGUCAGGGGUGAAAUCCCAGGGCUCAACCCUGGAACUGCCUUUGAUACUGUCGAUCUGGAGUAUGGAAGAGGUGAGUGGAAUUCCGAGUGUAGAGGUGAGAUUCGUAGAUAUUCGGAGGAACACCAGUGGCGAAGGCGGCUCACUGGUCCAUUACUGACGCUGAGGUGCGAAAGCGUGGGGAGCAAACAGG
rnacentral:rRNA from 1 species